rnacentral:rRNA from 1 species
UACGUAGGGGGGCGAGCGUUGUCCGGAUUUAUUGGGCGUAAAGAGCUCGUAGGCGGUUUGGUAAGUCGGGUGUGAAAACCCCAGGCUCAACCUGGGGACGCCACCUGAUACUGCUAUGACUUGGAGUCUGGUAGGGGAUCACGGAAUUCCUGGUGUAGCGGUGAAAUGCGCAGAUAUCAGGAGGAACACCGGUGGCGAAGGCGGUGAUCUGGGCCAGUACUGACGCUGAGGAGCGAAAGCGUGGGGAGCAAACAGG